GCUAGUAAAGCACGUUUGUGGUUCAGCCGGCCAGUCUUGUCGAGUCGUCGUGUGGCGGAUCCGAAUGGACCGUCCGCGGUGGCCUCGGUGGGCGAGCUGUGGUGCACUCUACGUACGUGCGCGUCAGCGUCGGUUCUCGACGGGCGAUAAGGUGCGUGGGGGAAGGUGGCUUGGUCUUCGGACUGAGUGUUACAGACCCUGGUGCUGGGCUCGUGGUGGGACUGAGGAGAGAGAUGAUCGCUGCGGCACCUGCCUUUCGGGGCUAGCCAGCUGUUGUCAGGUGUGCGUCAGGCGUUGAGGACUGCGCGCAGUGCUCGGUGUUGAGGCGUGAUCUGGUGGCGGUGUGGGCAUAGAGGUGCCUAGGACGCUGGCGUCCAAAUGGCCGUGCGCGACCCGUCUUGAAACACGGACCAAGGAGUCUAACAUGUGCGCGAGUCUUAGGGUGUGCAAGCCCUCGGGCGCAAUGAAAGUGAAGGUUCGGCGCUAGUCGAGCUGAGGUGAGAGCCGUUGCUUGUGGCGGCGGCGCAUCAUCGGCCGGUCCAUCCUGCUCUCAGGGGGAUCCGAGCAAGAGCGUAUUUGUUGGGACCCGAAAGAUGGUGAACUAUGCCUGAAUAGGGUGAAGCCAGAGAAAACUCUGGUGGAGGCUCGUAGCGAUUCUGACGUGCAAAUCGAUCGUCAAAUUUGGGUAUAGGGGCGAAAGACUAAUCGAACCAUCUAGUAGCUGGUUCCCUCCGAAGUUUCCCUCAGGAUAGCUGGAACUCGUCAACACAGUUUUAUCAGGUAAAGCGAAUGAUUAGAGGUCUUGGGGGUGAAACACCCUCAACCUAUUCUCAAACUUUAAAUCGGUAAGAAGCGCGACUUGCUUAAUUGAAGCCGCGCAACCAAUGUGAGUUCCAAGUGGGCCAUUUUUGGUAAGCAGAACUGGCGAUGCGGGAUGAACCGAACGCUCGG
rnacentral:rRNA from 1 species